UCCUACACCCACUCCUCAUAUUCUAACAUCUCGAAAACUACUAUCUUCUUUUUUCCUUCAUUACAUCUGAGUUCUUUACAUAGAUUCACGGAGUCAUGGCCUAGAGUUUAAAUUCAGAUCCUCUUUCUUCUUGCGUUUAAUCUAUCACAGUAAUUUAUAUAUCAUGGCAAAAAUUAUUGUCUUUAUAUCAAAUCUGAUGGUUUGCAUUGAAAUUCGAUUUGCGGUAGCCAUUGCUCUUGUUCUCCUCACAUGUUACAUUUUUACAUGAAUCUUUGUUAAUUUUCUACUCUUAAUAGAUAUAAAUUGCUUCUUUCAUUUUUUUGUUUGAUUUUAAUUGAUACUUGCAAGUUGCAAUUAUUCAAUUUUACUCGUUUUCAAACCCCAGGUUAUAGAUUUUGUUGAAUUUCUAUUUGUACAAUUAAUCUCUUAGUUUCUAGAUAUUUUCUUAUACAUUAGUGAUUUACUGGAUUGCUAAUUUCAUUUUUUUUGGAUCUAUUUCUUUACAUGUAAAACUGGACAUUGAUUUUGUUACUCCAUUCUUUCAUAGUUUUAGAGUUAUUGGUUGGACCAAAGCAGAGUUUGGACCUCGAAUAGAAGAAAAAGAAGGGGUAUUUUAAACCAAAGAUCACCUUCUCAUUAUAUUCCAUGAAAAUGGUGGGCAGUAGAAUCGUCGAGCCUCUAAUAGCAAGGGCGAAUAUUGCUGAAUGUGGAUAUGGAUCAAGUAACAAUGCUUGACAAGGUUCUCAAUCUGAAGGAGAUUCGUCAAACACAACUAUUUUUGUUGGAGGGCUUGAUCCUAGUGUCAUAAACGAGGAUCUUAGGCAACCUUUCUCUCAAUAUGGGGAGAUAUUUUAUGUUAAAAUUCCAGUAGGGAAAGGAUGCGGAUUUGUGCGAUUUGCAAACAGAGGUCAUGCUGAAGAGGCUUUGAAUAAGCUAAACGGGUCAGUUAUAGGAAAGCAAAUUGUCUGUCUUUCAUGGGGCCGCUACCCUACAAACAAACAGUCAAGAGGUGACUAUGGAAAUAUGUGGAAUGGAGGCUACUACGGAGGACACAUAUAUGGUGGUGGUAACGGAUACGUACCACACCCCCAUGACCAAAGCAUAUAUGCAGCAGCGACAGCAGCUUACUGAGCCUACCUUGUAUACGACAAUCAGCAACAGGUAAGCUGAUGACAAAGACACGAAAAAAGAAGUAGCGCGCAUGAGGAGAAGCCUCAAGAUUAUCGAUAAGCGUUUCGUAUAGCACUACCUAGGCAUAUUGUUUCAUUCUUUGUAGUGUGAGCCUGUUGUGUAGAAAUAUUUAUGAACCCCUUCCCCUCCUAAUGUGGAGUGGAACUGAAUUUUGAUAGCUCCCAAGCCGUAGAUUUGUAUGAAGAUUUUUUAACUUGGUGUCAAAGAUCAGAAAUUGUUCAGCGCCCCUGAUGGAUCGUUUGAUGCUGAAUUAGAGAUUUGUUUGAAAUUUCUGGUUGAGAGUUACAUUUCACAUGUGGUUUAAGACAAGCCAAAGUUUAUUAAGAUUGGAAAAAGCAAUGUAGGUGCAGCAAGAGAAUAGGCCAGGACUGUUGAGCAUCAAAACAAGCGACUAUAUCGUCUAUAAGGCCAUCAUCUAUCUAUUUUGGUUUUUAGUCUUAUAAUAGUGAUGUAUUAUUUAGGGACAAGCUACUAUAAUAUGCGACGUUUUUUUUUGUUUUUUUUUUAAUUAUUAUUAUUAAUUGUGUUGAUGUUUUCUUUUGUAAAUUUGGUAAUUAACUACGUACUCUUAUUGUUGUUGAUUAA